rnacentral:rRNA from 1 species
GACGAACGCUGGCGGCGUGCCUAAUACAUGCAAGUCGAACGAGCGGCGGACGGGUGAGUAAUGUAUGGGGACUGCCCGAUAGAGGGGGAUAACUACUGGAAACGGUGGCUAAUACCGCAUACUAUCGGAUAACCCAUAUGGGAUUAGCUAGUAGGUGGGGUAAAGGCUCACCAAGGCGACGAUCGCUAGCUGGUCUGAGAGGAGGAUCGGCCACACGGGGACUGAGACACGGCCCAGACUCCUACGGAGGCAGCAGUGGGGAAGAUUGCACAAUGGGCGAAAGCCUGAUGCAGCCAUGCCGCGUGUAUGAAGAAGGCCUUAGGGUUGUAAAGUACUUUCAGCGGGGAGGCGUUACCCGAAGAAGAAGCAACGGCUAACUACGUGCCAGCAGCCGCGGUAAUUC